CGGAAUUAAUAUUAUUUUCUCACUCUGAUAACGGCUGGUUGAGCAACAUCAGCGGUGAUCUGCUAACACUUCGUGAAAGCCACAUAUAAAUUCAUGCUAAGAUUGUGGUGAUGGUACUGUACCCACCUAAACAACGUCCAUUUUUCAACUUGAAUCCAUGACGACAUUUGCAACUGUAUGAGCCAGGAGUGUUGUGACAUUUUGAAUGAGCUGGACAUUUGAACUUCUUCUUGGAGCAUUCGUUUAUAUCUGAAAUAAAGGAUACUUUAAUGCCUCAAUUCGGUUAGUUAAUAUUUAAGAGAGCUAUAUAUGAGACAGUAAAGCACACACAAUGUUGUGGGAGAAGGGUUGUUGGGGAGAAAUGCUCCGAAUAUAUACUUUCAACUGGUCAAAGUGUCGCCCCACAGACUCACAGUUACUCUAAUUAAUGCCCUCGGGGGUCUGGGUCCCCAUAUUGGGCUGUCCUCAGGGGGUCUGGGUCCCCAUGUUGGACUCUAGUGUAAUUAAUGCCCUCAGGGGGUUUUGGUCCCCAUGUUGGGCAAUCCUCAGGGGGUUUGGGUCCCCAUGUUGGACUCUAGUGUAAUUACUGCCCUCAGGGGGUUUGGGUCCCCAUGUUGGGCGGUCCUCAGGGGGUUUGGGUCCCCAUGUUGGGCGGUCCUCAGGGGGUUUGGGUCCCCAUGUUGGACUCUAAUGCAAUUAAUGCCCUCAGGGGGUCUGGGUCCCCAUGUUGGGCAUGAUAUACUUCAAUCUAACAUUUUUAAUGUAUGGUACAUCGAUUUGUGAGUCUAUGGGAUGAGGGUGACCUAUGGGAGCACUCCAUCCCCAAAACCAAAAUUUUUUAUUUUCAAAGACCUUCCACAUAUUUUACAAGUAGUAACUAUUCUACUGUUCAGUAAACGCUGCGAGCAUUGCAGUCCAUGCUAGUCUGUCUUGAUAAUGACCCAUGCAAUAUAACAACAGGCUAUAAUACAGUUUGUUUGUUUUUUUUGGUUGUUUUUUUUUGUUUUUUUUCCUACUAAGCUAUGAUAAAGUGGUGCAACAUCAUUGACGGGUGGGGUGGGUGGAAUUUAAGCAAUUUUUUCGCUGUGAAGUGUCCUUCACUUUGGCUCACUGGCAACACAAUGAAGCCUGUAGCCCAGGCAGGAAGCAUAAGCAAACAAAACAGUUGGACCUGAUUGGUCUAUUUUCCCACAUGCAUGGGAAGAAGUGUUUGACAGUGGUUCAUUGUUAUUUACCGAGUGCUUUGCACGUGAGUGAUCACGCGUUUUAAGACUGACCUUUGUGCCUAACCUGGUCAAAUCAAAGGACUUUGCACAACUUUGGUUAUAUCCGAACGCUUGUUUCAUUAACUUAAGUUUAUAAUGCCUAUGGGCACGUAUAAACUUGCUUUAAUGCCUCAAUUCGGUUAGUUAAUAUUUAAGAGAGCUAUAUAUGAGACAGUAAAGCACACACAAUGUUGUGGGAGAAGGGUUGUUGGGGAGAAAUGCUCCGAAUAUAUACUUUCAACUGGUCAAAGUGUCGCCCCACAGACUCACAGUUACUCUAAUUAAUGCCCUCGGGGGUCUGGGUCCCCAUAUUGGGCUGUCCUCAGGGGGUCUGGGUCCCCAUGUUGGACUCUAGUGUAAUUAAUGCCCUCAGGGGGUUUGGGUCCCCAUGUUGGACUCUAAUGUAAUUACUGCCCUCAGGGGGUUUGGGUCCCCAUGUUGGGCGGUCCUCAGGGGGUUUGGGUCCCCAUGUUGGACUCUAAUGGAAUUAAUGCCCUCAGGGGGUCUGGGUCCCCAUGUUGGGCAUGAUAUACUUCAAUCUAACAUUUUUAAUGUAUGGUACAUCGAUUUGUGAGUCUAUGGGAUGAGGGUGACCUAUGGGAGCACUCCAUCCCCAAAACCAAAAUUUUUUAUUUUCCAAAACCUUCCACAUAUUUUACAAGUAGUAACUAUUCUACUGUUCAGUAAACGCUGCGAGCAUUGCAGUCCAUGCUAGUCUGUCUUGAUAAUGACCCAUGCAAUAUAACAACAGGCUAUAAUACAGUUUGUUUGUUUUUUUUGUUUUUUUUUUGUUUUUUUUCCUACUAAGCUAUGAUAAAGUGGUGCAACAUCAUUGACGGGUGGGGUGGGUGGAAUUUAAGCAAUUUUUUCGCUGUGAAGUGUCCUUCACUUUGGCUCACCGGCGACACAAUGA
rnacentral:lncRNA from 1 species